GGAAUCCUUUUAUGCCCCACCUACUGUAAGGAUCACAGAGUACUUAGGCCGGAGUGCAAUGGCACGAUCUCGGCAGAAUCUCAUCACGAUCUCCGCACCAUCUCAGCUCAUGGCAACCUCCACCUCCUGGGUUCAAGAGAUUCUCCUGCUUCAGCCUCCCAAGUAGCUAGGAUUACAGACAUGCACCACCACGCUAAUUUUGUAUUUUCAGUAGAGAUGAGGUUUCUCCAUGUUGGUCAGGCUGGUUUGAACUCACAACCUCAGGUAAUCCACCCACUUCGGCCUCCCAAAGUGCUUGGAUUACAGGCAUGAGCCACCGUGCCCAGCCAAAGGACAAGUCUUUUUAAGAGUAAUGGAAAAUUUAGAAGCCAUUAAUAAAAAGUUUCCUGCACUAAAAAAAAAAGAAAAUAGCCUCUCCUUUCUCUGAACUUUCAAAAUAUGCCUAAACCUUGAUUAAAACAUAUAUCGU
ensembl:lncRNA